AUGGCCAAGUGGGUUUUUCCUUUGUUGCAAAUGGGGAAUGUUUUUCCUUUGACUCUACCAUCCAAUUCAGGACGUCUCAGUGUGUUUAACAUUUGUCAGCAGGCCCAAGGACUCACAGUUGGAAGACUGGAGAAGACUUUUUAAAAAGAUCUGGAUUUUUCCUUAUGACUUGGAAUCCAUCUUUGUCUUGUAUAACUAGGUCAUAGCACACCAUUCAUGUCAGCAGUUAACAGUUUUGAAUUCCAAAAAAACCUAAAGCAGUAAACAGUCCUCAGCGAAGCCGCCUUUUUGCCUACCCAACCCUGGAAAGUUUGCAGAAGUGGAAGGAGCAGAACGUGAGGGUGUAACUUACAAAAAGGUUCUGGGCCGGAGAAGGGGCGACGUUCGGGCACCCCCCGAAUGGACAAUCUUUCCUUCUGUCGACGGCAGGGGCAGGCCUAGUUUGACUCUGACAGUCCUCCCACUAAGGUAGGUGUGAGUCCUUGCUCAGACCGUGAGGGAGAUUUGGGGGGAUCUGGCCUGCAGCCCAGGGAGGUCCGAACCCCAAACCCGCCGGGCU
rnacentral:lncRNA from 1 species